UACGGGCCGGCUNGAGUGCGGUAGGGGAGACUGGAACUCCUGGUGUAGCGGUGGAAUGCGCAGAUAUCAGGAAGAACACCGGUGGCGAAGGCGGGUCUCUGGGCCGUUACUGACGCUGAGGAGCGAAAGCGUGGGGAGCGAACAGGAUUAGAUACCCUGGUAGUCCACGCCGUAAACGUUGGGCACUAGGUGUGGGGGGCCUUUUCCGGGUCUUCCGCGCCGUAGCUAACGCAUUAAGUGCCCCGCCUGGGGAGUACGGCCGCAAGGCUAAAACUCAAAGGAAUUGACGGGGGCCCGCACAAGCGGCGGAGCAUGCGGAUUAAUUCGAUGCAACGCGAAGAACCUUACCAAGGCUUGACAUGUGCCGGUCGGCUCCGGAGACGGGGUUUCCUCCUUGUGGGGCCGGUUCACAGGUGGUGCAUGGUUGUCGUCAGCUCGUGUCGUGAGAUGUUGGGUUAAGUCCCGCAACGAGCGCAACCCUUGUCCCGUGUUGCCAGCACGUUGUGGUGGGGACUCGCGGGAGACUGCCGGGGUCAACUCGGAGGAAGGUGGGGAUGACGUCAAAUCAUCAUGCCCCUUAUGUCUUGGGCUUCACGCAUGCUACAAUGGCCGGUACAGAGGGCUGCGAUACCGUGAGGUGGAGCGAAUCCCUUAAAGCCGGUCUCAGUUCGGAUCGGUGUCUGCAACUCGACACCGUGAAGUUGGAGUCGCUAGUAAUCGCAGAUCAGCAACGCUGCGGUGAAUACGUUCUCGGGCCUUGUACACACCGCCCGUCGCGUCAUGAAAGUCGGCAACACCC
rnacentral:rRNA from 1 species